CAGUAGCCGCGGUAAUACGUAGGGUGCGAGCGUUAAUCGGAAUUACUGGGCGUAAAGCGUGCGCAGGCGGUUCGUUAAGACAGAUGUGAAAUCCCCGGGCUUAACCUGGGAACUGCAUUUGUGACUGGCGAGCUAGAGUAUGGCAGAGGGGGGUAGAAUUCCACGUGUAGCAGUGAAAUGCGUAGAGAUGUGGAGGAAUACCGAUGGCGAAGGCAGCCCCCUGGGCCAAUACUGACGCUCAUGCACGAAAGCGUGGGGAGCAAACAGGAUUAGAUACCCGAGUAGUCCCUGUCUCUUAUAC
rnacentral:rRNA from 1 species